ACUAAGUUGGCAGACUAGUGCGACUGAUUUAGAAUCUUUAUAUGGGGUUGACUCACUUAGUA
rnacentral:tRNA from 1 species